rnacentral:lncRNA from 1 species
UCAAAUCUUACCCAGCACUAGAGUGUCCACAUUGGUGGGAAAUCUACAGCAGAUCUGGGGAAGCCUUUAGUUGUAACUCAAGUCUCUGUCCAUGUCAGUCCGUGGGGUAGAGAAUCCUACAGUGUAAACAAUGUGGAGGCUUUCAUGGGUUCACAUCUUGCUCAAAGGGAGAAAAUUCAUGAGAGGAAACUGGAUAUAAGGAAUAUGGAAAGACCUUUCUUCAUGGUUCAAAAUUUAAUAGACACCUGGAAAAUCAUGCUGACUAAGAGAACUGAAUUCAAGGAAUUUGGAAACAUUUAUUCAUGAUUCUGCACUUAACUGAUAGUAAAUUCUCAAAAGGGACCUGAGAGAAUGUGGAAAUGCCCUUCAGGUUUGCAGCUGUGGGGAACAGGGCUUGGCAAGCAACCUGGCUAUCCCAGAGAGAUGGAAAAGUUUUCAUCUUGGACUUUCCUCUCAUGACAAGAAGUUCAUGCUGGCACCGAGCCCCACAAAUGUAUGAAGUGAUUUUAGUUACCAUGGCAGCUUGGGUCAACACCUGGAUAUAUAUACUUUUUCCUGUGGUAUGAAACCCUGAGCUGUGUGUGCUGAACACACUGUCUUGUUUCUCAGCUGCAUCCCCAGCCCUCACGUUUGAGGAAGCCCAUGAAGAUAAAUAUGUUGAAAUGUUUUUCUAAGAGCUUACACUUUUCACUGCUGUGUUAUCUUGCGACACAAAAAUAAGAAAAGCUAAUUUAUUUCUAACUCAUUGAGUUAAUUUCUUUUUUUUUUCCUUUUUUAUUUUUCUUUUCUUUCUUUUUUUUUUAACGAGCUUUUGGCAAAAUAACGUGUCUGUUGUCCAAAGUCAUGAUAUGAUUGCUGUUAGUUUAGGAAAAACUUUACUGGUGGGUUAUUUAUGUAUGGUGAGGAUUCCUUAUAAGAGAAGUGACAUAUGGCUCUAUCGUAGAGUAUUUGCAGUGACAUGUAAAAGUGCAACAUAUGUGAGACAUGAUUUUUAUAUGUGCAUUACAUACUUUCUCGGGAAACUUGGAAGUGCUUGUUUUUUAAUACAACAUAAAAAGUUCGAAAGAAUUUUUUAAAAAUUCAGAAUUGCAUUUUAAAAGUUCUGUGAGGGCUGGAGAGAUGGUUCAGUUGGUAGAGCACUUGUUUGGCAUGCACGAAGCCCUGGGUCUGUUCUCCAGCUGCAUAACCAGGCUUUGUGGUAUAUGCCGCAGAUUCUAGUACUCAGAAGUUCGGGGUCAUGAUUGGACUACCUAGUGAAUUCAAGGCCAGCCAGGAACUCAUGGGACUGUCUCAAAGG